ACAGUGUCGACCACAUCAGGAUCUGCAGAUGCCUCAACAUCCACCCAAAGUACUAUUACCACAACCUCAACAUCCACCCAAAGUACAACUACCAAAACGCUGAGCAUAGGUGGGAUUAUUGGAAUUGUCAUUGGAUGCCUUGCCUUGCACUGGUAUGCAUUGGAGCAAGCAUCUUGAUAUAUCUCAAACAUACAGGCAUAUGGAUUAGCAGCCAUCAAAUCAACGGUUAAGAAAUAAAAAGAACUCAUCGACAUGGACAUGUGUUUUCUAAAAACUGAUACACGCGGUUAAUUAUUUAAGAUACCAACUUCGAUGUUAAGAUACAAUAAUGCUGUUCAAUUAUGCCCAUAAACUAUUGCUACUUGUGUUUGAACUACACUCAUAGAUGUGAGUAGAUACUGACUGAUGAGAAAAAACAUACACUUUCUUUUAUGAUAUAUGUGUUAAACAGUGUCAAUUAUCUCUACUGCUUUGAUAAAUGGUUUCUCAAUAUUAUUCAGAGUGUUAUUAAAUUUUAACAAAAAACUAACAAAUGG